GCGAUGGAACUUCGAUCAUACUCAAGGGGCCAACGAGAUAUCGCUGCAAGAUUGAAAUUGAAUGUAGAAGUUCAAGGACCUUCUUUCUACUAUCACAUUGGAGGACAAGACAUAUGCGAUUAGAUAGAGGAGGACUACCAACCAAUUAUUUAUAGUUGAAUCGCUCUACAAUAUUCUCGCAGAUGAGGAUUAGGGGACUCCAACACCAUCCUCAAUUUGGAGACUGAAAAUUUCAUAAAAAGUAAAUAUCUUUGUGUUGCUAGUGUUAAGGAAAAAGGUUUUUUUUUUUUUUUUUUUUUUUUUUAUUUUUUUUUUUUUUUUUUUUUUUUUUUACCGACUGUUUCUAGAGCAAAUGUCAAAGAAUUUGGUGGUUGUUAUCCCAGACUCAAAUUUGAAUCCUUAUUGAUUCACAUUUCCAGCUAAGUUUAUUUCAAAAAUGAAAUAAACGAAGCAGCUAGCGUGCUACCUAUCUCUCAAAAAAAAAAAAGGUUUUUUUUUUUCCCCUACGUACUUUCCCCUAUCUCUCAAAAAAAAAAAAAAUUUUUUUUUUUCCCUACGUACUUUCCUCUAUCGCGAGGUCUAAUUGUCUCACCUCAUGUAGUUGAAUCCAUUCUUCUUUAUAAAUGAAACAGAUGAUUCGCUACUUUUUUUUCUCCAAAAAAAAAAAAAUUUGAAACGAGCAAAAAUACAAGAAUAAUUAAGGGCGGGGUAUAAAAUAAAAAUGUAAGAUGAAUAUUUGUAAUUUACGCAGAAUUUCCAUUCCAUUGCAUUAUUAAAUGCCGCGUUUAUUUUUGGUGGCAUGAGGAAGAACCAUCUCUCACGACAUAUUCUAUACUAAAACGGGAUAAAAUAUUAGUGCAAAUUAAUGUCCUAUAUUUUAAUUGAUCUUCGAGGCGAGUUUUGUACUAAAAAAUUUGUUUUUUUUUUUUCUAGUAAGACUUUUUGCGUGUGUAUAUUUUAUGUUAUCCAAAUUCUUAUAGAAUCUGUUGGAAAAUAAUUUUAUUUUUUUAAUAUAGAAAAAUAUGUUUAAAAUUUACGUUUUGAAAUAAUAUAUUCAAACAGUAAGCAGCAACUUGUAAUAAAAAUAUAUCUUGAAAUUUACGUUUGUUUGGUUGAAGAAAUCAGCCAAAAAUUGGCGAAAGGCGAAAAUGCUCCAUUUUUUUCAAAUUUGUAAAAAAUAGUUUUCCAAAAAAAUUUUACGGCUAAACUAGUGUCAAAAGAUUUCUAAAUUGACAAUUCUAACGUCUGAUGUGAUGUAUUUAUAAGUUUAAAGGUAUAAAAUAAUUCAAAUUAUAGUAUACUUUUGAUAGAAACUUUUGCAAUUAUUUAGAGCAAGUUCAGUAUCUCAGAGAUAUUAAAUCUUUUAUUAUUAUUUUUUAUGAAAUUUUUAUUUUCGACCAUCUAUUUAAGACUAUUCUUUCCCUACCGUUGAGCCAAUUCGGCGCGAAUAGCUGGCACGAUGGGUCCAUACCAGUACAGCGGUUUCAGCGGUGCACCGGGAGUACAAUAGGGGCACCAGAAGAAAAACGAACCGCACCAAAAUUGAGGGAGUUAUAGCAACCGCAAGCAGUUAUAGGCAGUCCUGAUCGGCCGAAGGUGGUCCAAAAUAACAGGAGAUAAUGGUUGAUCGUGCAAGGGUUAUAACCAACUCAGGGACGACUCUAUAAAUAGGCUCAUAUUACCCUAAAAAAGAGUUUUUUUUCCCUGCGAACAAAAGACCACCUUUAUUUUACCGCAUCUUUCUUCUCUGCAUUUGCCGUUUUUUCUAGGAAUAGCUUGGUAACUUAAGAUCUUGGAGUCUGUCUGCCCCCCUGGGCAUCACUCCGUUGUAGACUAAAACCCAUCUCCCUGUACUUUCCUUCGUUUUAUUUAAUAGAAAGUUAUUUUCGGCUCUUUAGGCUGACAAGAUCUCGUGUUGUUUUGGCCAUUCGGCUCUUCUCUCGGCCCAGUUUCUGACCUGUUUCAAGUAUUCGGCUCAUCCCAGCCGAGCCGAAUCUACUGUAGAGGUUUUCGAAUCCGACUGAUCCGAUCCCUCAUCAACCGAAUUGCUUGAUCUGUCGAAGGGCGCACACUUCGAGAGUCAUCGUUCGCAACCGCUCAUCACUCCGACGCACUCCCCGAGAAAGAUAUUUGACCGGGUCAAGGGGUCGGGAAGAUUCGGCUACUAACACCUACAUAUUGAAAAAUUAUAAAAGUUGGUUUCCAAAUACUUCUAAUAAUCUUUAUCAUACAUAAAGAGGCUGAUCUUCGAUUUGAUAUCGCAUUUUUCAAAAUAAUUUGAUAGUACAGGAGCCUCUAAGCAGGAGACGAGCAUGGUAAAAUUAUAGGCUAAAUUACAUAAAAUCCUCCUGUCAAAAUCCGAUUUCUCACUUUCCUUCCCUAUCAUUUAAAAACCUACAUUUUAAUUACCCCUAACAGUAGGGGUGAAGUGCAUAUUUUUUAUUUUACAAGAGGGCAAAGUGUAGGUUUUUAAAUGACAGAGGAAAAAAUAAAAAAUCGGAUUUUGACAGAAAAGUUUUCUGUAAUUUAGCCUAAAUUAUAACUGCAAUUUUCCUAAUAUUGUAUGUUCGUUAAUAUAUAGAGACUGCAAAGGUAACGAAUUACAAUGUUAAGUCAUUAUAUUACAUAUAUAUAUAUAUAUAUAUAUAUAUAUAUAUAUAUAUAUAUUCAGAGUAAAUUUUAUUUUUUGUUCGAGCAAACAAUAUAAAUUAUGAUUCAAUAUAAUAUAUCUGCUUUGGCAAUAUCAAAAAAUAUUCAAUCUGGAUACAUCCAAAUCCCAAGUCAAAUGUUACGUAAUUGCAGCAUGGGGUAGAAGAUUUUAACUCGUCACAGUGCGGUUACGGGUUGUUUGAUUUUCGGAAAAAACUCUCAAAUAAUUGUCGUGACGGAAAAAUAUUUUCCAUCCAUUUACUUUCCAAGAAAUAGCAGUUGGGUCGGUGACAGAUUUGGACAUAAUUUCACCUGCCAUAGUUAAGCCUUCUUCUACAAUUCUAACUACAUCAACUAAAUUUAAAUAUAUCAAAUCAAGAGUAGGGCUUCUAUACUGUUAUGAGUACAGAGCUCUUUAUACUCAUAAGUUGUUUUCGAUGUUAGGGUUUUCGAAUUGACGAUCCACACCGUUAAACAUGAUCUAGAGUUUUUAAAACUUAUAGAAAAUAAAUUUUGUAAUUUUUCAAAAUCAUUAUAAAAUCCAUCAAGCGGGUAUAAAAUGAACGGUCAGAAUCGAACGACAUCAUAAAAAUGAAUGCUUGGAUUCUUCAAUUUAAGAUUGGAGUUAUUGAUCAUUAUUUAGGUAGUGAAUAGAAUUUUCUAUCAAAAAUUCAAACUAUUCCAACUCUUUUACAUCGUUAAACUAGCAAAUAUCCCACACCAGCCGUUAAAAUUUGUCAAUUUUGUGAGCUUUUGAUUGUAAGGUAAAUGAUAUCGAAAAAUUAUAAAAUUUGAUUUCUAGAAGUUUUAAAUACUUUAGAUAAUAUUUAACGGUAUGGAUCGUCGAUUCGAAAGCUCUAUCAUAAAAAACGACUUAUGAGUACGAAGGCGAUCGUACUCAUAAGAGUAUAUUAGCCGGACUCUCAAAUCAAACACUAUAUAUUGGAAUAUAUAUACAAUUACAUUAGUAUACAGUUACGGUUGCAUGUAGCCAUUCAAUUCUGUAAAAUAGGUAAAAAUAUAUAGAAUUUAUCUCAACUAUCAUGCACUUUUGGAUCUGACUAUCUAACCUUUAGAAAUUUUGAUUGUACUAUCUGACCUUUUAAUUUAUUUAAUUUCAGUCGAUUAAUAAUUUUUUAACGUCAAAAUUUGAUUGCGAUGUUUUUCUUUACAAAUUUAGUUAGUAUAUUUUAUGCAAGUAACAUAAUUAUAAAUUUAUUAAAAUAAGCAAUUAUUUUAAUUUUUAUAUCUGAAGAGCCAUCAAAUUACUUAAAUCAAACAACUUUAAAAGUUUGGUACAAAGAUUAAAAUUUUAGAAGAUUAGGUAGCUGAAUCCAAAUGGUUGAUAUCUCAAGUAAGUUUUAUCUACAAAAUAUAAAAAAUUAUACUUGUACUUUCCAAAAAAGGUAUGGAUAUUACUAGAGAUGUCAAUGAGUCAGAUUCGAGAAAAAUUUUCAAAAAUUUCAAUCCGAACCCGAUUACCAAAUCCGAAACACGAACCCAAACCCGAACCAGAAUCCAAAAAUCCGAAUUCGAAAUAACUAUUUUUCUUUACCAUAUUUCAAAAUAUAUUAUAUUAAAUCUAAAUUUUUAAAAUACAAAUUCAAAUAUAACGUUAAAUAUAUAUAUAUAUAUAUAUAUAUAUAGAGAGAGAGAGAGAGAGAGAGAGAGAGAGUAGGGCUACUAUACUCCUAUCAAUAUAGAGCCCUUUGUACUCAUAAGUUAUUUUUAAUGAUAGAACUUUCGAAUCAACGAUCCACAUUAUUAAAUAUAAUCUAAAGUAUUUAAAAUUUUUUGAAAAUAAAUUUCGUAAUUUAUGGAAAUCAUAAUAAAGCCCAUCAAGCGGGCAUAAAAUGAAUGGUCAAAAUCGAACGACUUUAUAAAAAUAGAUGAUCGGAUCUUUUAAUUUAAAAUUAGAGUUAUUGAUUUUUAUCUGAAUAAUGAAUAAAAUUUUCUAUCAAAAAUUCAACCGAUUCCGAUUCUUUUAUACUGUUAAACUAGCAAGUAUCUUAUACUGACCGUUAAAAAUCAUCAAUUUUAAGAUCUUUCGAUCUUAAGAUAAAUGAUAGUAACAAUUUAUAAAAUUUAAUUUUUAGAAGUUUUAAAUGCUCUAAAUCAUAUUUAACGAUAUGGAUCGUCGAUUCAGAAGUUCCUUCAUCAAAAAUAACAUAUGAGUACAAAGGUGAUCGUAUUCAUAAGGUAAUGUUUAAUGGCAUAGUCGUCAAUUCAGAAGCUCCAUUAUCCAAAACAACUUAUGAGUACGAAGAAGCCUAUAUUAAUAACAAUAGUAGCCCUAGAGAGAGAGUUUACCCUUAUAUGUUUUUUAAAGGUAUUAAGUCAUUGGUGCUGAUAAGUUUCACCUAUUGAAUUAAGAGAUGUGUGGAUAGGAUGAUAGUGGUCCUUCGGAGUUGAGUAGGUGGUUGGUUAAAUAGUAUGAUUUAAUGGUUGGAAAUGAUUAAAGGAGUAGAUUUAAUGGCGAAAAACUUACAACCACCAAGUGCUUCGUGCUUUUAUAAGUACCAUAGCCAGACUACAUAUAGAGAGAGAGUAGAGUUACUAUACUUUCGGAAGUAUAAAGGAGUUGGUGACUUUUUGGUCCUUAGGUCAAGAAUUGUACAAUUAGGAUGAUAAUAGUCCUCCCUAGGGUUGAGCGGUCCCCAUAGGAUAAUAAUAUUAAUUUAAAUGUUAGAAAUAUUCAAAGAGGUUGAUCCAAGGGCCAAAAAGUCUAAAGAACUAAGUCCUUUAUGCUUAUAUAAGUAUGAACUAGGCUGGAAUGCUAUCAAUAGCACCAAACACUUGGUGCUACCAAGUUUUCCGCCCUUGGAUGAAGAAAUGUAUGGUUAGGAUGAUGUGAGCCCCCUAGGGUUGAGUAAGUUGUUGGUUGAAUAGUAUAAUCUAACGGAUGAAAAUAGUCAAAGGGUUAAAUCAAACGGCGGAAAACUUGGUAGCACCAAGUGCUUGGUGCUAUCAAUAGUAUCCCAGCCGGACUCUAUAAGUAUAGCAACUGUACUAUAUAUAUAUACAUAGAGCUAGGCUGGAAUACUAUUGAUAGCAAAAGGUCAUUUUUGCUAUCAAAUUUUUAACCCUUGAAUGAAAAAUUAUAAGGUUAGGAUGAUAUUAGUCCCUUAGGGUUUAGUUGCAGAUAUAUCCCUGCAAAGCUCAACUUUCAUAAGUUAGAAUAGUUUUAGAAGCACCAACCAAUUGGUGCUUCUAGGUUUCUAGCCCUUGGAUCUACUCCUUAAUUACUAAUAACCUUUAGAUCAAACACUAUUCCACCUAUCACCACCUACCACCAUGAUCUCAACCCUAUAUCUCUCCAUCUAAUGGCUAAAAACUUAAAAGCACCACUCCCUUGGUGCUUUUGGAAGUAUUAUAGCUCAACUCUAUAUAUAUAGAGAGAGAGAGAGAGAGAGAGUCCGGCUGGGAUACUAUCGAUAGCACGAAGCAUUUGGUGCCAUCAAGUUUUCUGCCGUUAGAUUUACCUCUUUUAUCAUUUUCAUCCAUUCGAUUAUACUANUGGGGGGCAACGGAGCCCGUUUGCUACCGAUAGCAUUCCAGCUCAACUCUCUCUCACUCUCUAUAUAUAUAUAGAGAGAGAGAGAGAGAGAGAGAGUCCGGCUGGGAUACUAUCGAUAGCACGAAGCAUUUGGUGCCAUCAAGUUUUCUGCUGUUAGAUUUACCUCUUUUAUCAUUUUCAUCAAUUCGAUUAUACUAUUCAACCAACCACCCACUCAACCCUAGGGGGCCCACAUCAUCAUAACUGUACAUCUUUUAAUCCAAGAGCAGAAAACUUAAUAGCACCAAGUCAUUGGUGCUAUUAAUUGUGACACCCCAAUAGUCCCACAUCGGAUGGGAAGGGGUUGUCAUUGGGUUUAUAAGAGACUUAGACACUAGUAAUAAUAACUGGGCUUAAGCAUUUUGGGCUGUUGACUGGGCCCAACGAGUUAUUAUUGCUAGUGGGCUGGGUCGUUACAUUUGGUAUCAGAGCCGGUUCACCAGCUGGACAUGUGUGGCGAGUCUCGGCUGAGCCAGGGUCUGGAUGACGGGCUAGCGAGACGAGUCUCACAUCGCCUGGUGAUCUUGGGCUGUGUGUGUGUGAGGACUGACGAGGACGUCAGGGCCUUAACGGGGGGAGUCUGUGACACCCCAAUAGUCCCACAUCGGAUGGGAAGGGGUUGUCAUUGGGUUUAUAAGAGACUUAGACACUAGUAAUAAUAACUGGGCUUAAGCAUUUUGGGCCGGUGUUUGGGCCCAACGAGUUAUUAUUGCUAGUGGGCUCGGUCGUUACAUUUAGUAUCAGAGCCGGUUCACCAGCUGGACAUGUGUGGCGAGUCUCGGCUGAGCCAGGGUCUGGAUGACGGGCUAGCGAGACGAGUCUCACAUCGCCUGGUGAUCUUGGGCUGUGUGUGUGUGAGGACUGACGAGGACGUCAGGGCCUUAACGGGAGGAAUCUGUGACACCCCAAUAGUCCCACAUCGGAUGGGAAGGGGUUGUCAUUGGGUUUAUAAGAGACUUAGACACUAGUAAUAAUAACUGGGCUUAAGCAUUUUGGGCUGUUGACUGGGCCCAACGAGUUAUUAUUGCUAGUGGGAUGGGUCGUUACAUUAAUAGUAUUCCAGCCUAGUUCUAUAUAUAUAUAUAUAUAUAUAGAGAGAGAGAGAGAGAGAGAGAGAGAGAGAGAGAGAGAGAGUUGAGCUAGGGUACUUUUAGAAGCACCACCCACUUGGUGCUAAGUUUCUAACCUUGGAUCCACUCCAUAAUUACUAAUAUUCCUUGGAUCAAACACUAUUCCACCUACCACCACCUACCACCAUCAUCUCAACCUCACAUCUCUCCAUCCAAGGGCUAAAAACUCUAAAGCACCACCCACUUGGUGCUUUUCGGAGUAUUCUAGCUACACUAUAUAUAUAUAUAUAUAUAUAUAUAUAUAUAUAUAUAUAUAUAUAUAUAUAUAUAUAUAUAUAUAUUUGUAUUUAAAAAGUAUCGAAGCAAAAAAAUAAAUAUAUAUUGAGAUGGCCCGUAUAUCUAGCCACCCACCCGCGAAUGGAUAUAAGUGAAAAUAUUGAUAAUCCAAAAAUUUAUAAAAAAAUUUUAUCUAAUCUAUAGAUAUAUUAAAUCGUGAGUUUUACUGUACAUGACGUGUCGUCGGGCCCGUCUCUUCCGUUCCCUCUCGCGCGCCUUCAAUCCCUUCCCUCUCUCCCACCCACGAUUCCCUCUCUCUCUCUCACCCCCGAUUCCUGCCCCCUCUGGAUCCGCAAAGCCCGCAAGGUGCAGACACGCACUAUGCCUCCCGCACCUCUCUCCCUGCCUCCUUCCCCUGUCGCCCAGCAGGGCGUGGAGGUCCUGCAGAUCCGCGUCGCGACCCGUGCCUACGCUCGCUUGAGCCGCUCGCCCGCGCCGCACUGCCAUGUGUGCGCGACCCACGCCCGGCGCCGCUCGCGCCCCUAGCGCGCUGCCCCUUCUACAUCUGCAGAUCCUGCAGAUCUCUCUCUCCCCGAUCCCACCUCUCAUCUCUCUCCGAUCUUUUUUCGAUCUGCGAGGAUCUUCUUCUCUUCCUCCCCCUCGCCAUCACGCGAUCGAUCGGAGGAGCUCGCAGGCCCAUCGCGUCCUUUCCCUAGCGUUCGCGCCCUGUUCGACGAAAUGCCGAGGCGACUGUAGGGCGCUUCGCGGGCAUNCGAGAGUAUUCUAGCUCAACUCUAUAUAUAUAUAUAUAUAUAUAUAUAUAUAUAUAUAUAUAUUUGUAUUUAAAAAUUAUCGAAGCAAAAAAAUAAAUAUAUAUUGAGAUGGCCCGUAUAUCUAGCCACCCACCCGCGAAUGGAUAUAAGUGAAAAUAUUGAUAAUCCAAAAAUUUAUAAAAAAAUUUUAUCUAAUCUAUAGAUAUAUUACACCUUGAAAUGGACUGUGGCUUACGUGUAGUCCGCCCCGUCUCUUCCGUUCCCUCCCGCGCGCCUUCGAUCCCUUCCCUCUCUCCCACCCACGAUUCCCUCUCUCUCUCACCCCCGAUUCCUGCCCUCUCUGGAUCCGCAAAGCCCGCAAGGUGCAGAUAGUUGUCGCACUAUGCCUCCCGCGCCCCUAUCCCCCCCUCCUUCCCCUGUCGCCCCGCAGGGCGUGGAGGUCCUGCAGAUCCGCGUCGCGACCCGUGCCUACGCUCGCUUGAGCCGCUCGCCCGCGCCGCACUGCCAUGUGCGCGCGACCCACGCCCGACGCCGCUCGCGCCCCUAGCGCGCUGCCCCUUCUACAUCUGCAGAUCCUGCAGAUCUCUCUCUCCCCGAUCCCACCUCUCAUCUCCCUCCGAUCUUUUUUCGAUCUGCGAGGAUCUUCUUCUCUUCUUCCCCCUCGCCAUCACGCGAUCGAUCGGAGGAGCUCGCAGGCCCCCGCGUCCUUUCCCUAGCGUUUGCGCCCUGUUCGACGAAAUGCCGAGGCGACUGUAGGGCGCUUCGCGGGCAUCGGAGAGGUGGGGCGCGGCGCUGGGGAUGGUGGUAAAUGUUAUUCCUUUACAUAUAUAUGUCUGAUCAUGUAAAUAGAGGUAUAAACUAGCAAUUCAAUGUUUAAAAUAGCUAAAUGAUUUUUGUUUUGUCUUAAAAUUUUCAUUAUGACGUCAUGAAUUUGGCCUACAUAGUGAAGUCAGUAUAAGCUAAACCUCUUGAAGCUUCAAGAUCAGAGAAUUUUAGAAGUCAUUAAUGUUUAGCUGACAAAUAUAAUUUUGCUAUUUAGAUGAAUUGUUAUGCUCAUUUGAUUAUCUAAUUGUAAUGUGUUAUAACAGUUCCGUAGUUUCCAAAAUUUUAGCCCAAAAACUAGUAGGACUAUUAUUUCCAAAUUUAGAUUUAAGGUCAUUUCUUCAAAUUGCUCUCCACUUCUAAGUUCAUAGCUUUCGCGGUAAGAAGAAACUGUUAUCUCCAAAUAUGUUGAAGUUUGAUCCCUAUAUUUGCAUUUUUUUAUAUUUGUAAAAUUACUUUAGAUGAAAUGACUGAAAUGAAUUUGAAACUGCCAGAAGAAUAAAUAUUCGAACUUCACUGAAAUCAACUUUCAUUUAUGAAAUUGGAAUUGCAACCUUGGAUACCAUUUUAAUAUGCAAGAGUUGAAUAGUUGCCAAGUUGCUUAAGGUAAAAUUUUAUUCUGCUCUAUUAAAUUUUUUCAUCACUAACAUAGUUUCGCUUCUGUUACUAUAACACUUUAGCCUCUUUCAGUUGCCUAUUAAUCAUCCAUCUUUUAGGAUCUUCUGCUCCUAACUAUAGCUCAAAUAUUAAGUUGUUUGGAUUUCUAUCGAAUGCCCCUCUGCUCCAAGUAGAAGAGGGGGCUUUUAUAAGGAGCAGAAGAGGGGACUUUCUCUUGUAACUUAGCCUGUAUUAGAAGUCAAUAAGAAUAACUCUUUUUCGUUAAAUAAAAUGAUCAUUGAUUAUAAAAGAAGAGAGCCUCUUAUUUAUGGGCCCAGAAUCAAUACAAUAGUUCUAAUAUGAUUACCAAACCCAAUAGAAAAACCAAAUAAGAAUUGGGUUGAUCAUAACACCAUUCCGAUAUUAGAACUGUAGCAUGGGCAUCAUAGACAUUAAUUCUUCCUUAUUUGUUGAUCAUUGGCUUGUUUUGUCCUGAGAUUUUGCAAACAUACACACCAAGUAUGUAUAUUCGCCAAACCCAUUAAAGUUAUUAUUUGCACGACUGUUCCUCAAGGUCCUGUUUCCGUAUGUUUAUCUCUACUAUAGUUUGCUUACCGGUAGUUACUGACUGUUGUUAAUACCUAACUAUCAUUAGCACAUUAAAUUUUUUUGUCCCUCCUCUGAGCUACAUUUUUCAUCGUGGGGCAGCACUUUCCCCAAUUCAACCUCACCACUCAACCAACUCGAUUAAGCAGGUGUUGUGUAAUUCUCCUCUCUGUCAAUUGUACUUGAUUUUGUUUUUAUUUAAGAAUCAUUAAUUUUGUUUGCAGUAGUCACUUGUGCUUUAGUAAGCAAUUCUUUUCCUUUCCAAUCCUCUGUUGAGCCCAUUUAAGAUUUAGCAAGAUAUCGAGUAGGCAACAGCACAAUCGGCAAUUGAGAAAGAGUAAUGCACUGCAUGAUCCAUCUAAAUGUUAGUCGAGACUUUAAUGAUCAAUAAAUUGUUACAAUUUCUUCAGCAUUGGUUGAAUAGUAUGAUCUAAAGAGUGAAAAUGGUAAAAAAAAAAGAGUAAAUCUAACGACAGAAAACUUAAUAGCAACAAGCGUUUGGUGUCAUUGGUAGCAUAAUAACCGAACUAUUAGAUGAAGGAAUGCGUAGUUUAGAAUAUUAUUAAUCGCACCAAGUUACUGAUGCUAUUAGGUUUUUGGCUCUUAGAUGAAGGGAUGUGCAUUAGAAUGAUAGUGGUCCUCUAGGGACGUGGGUGAUUGGUGGAAUAGUGUGAUUUAAAGGAUGAAAAUGGAAUACCUUUCAGUAAUAUUUGGCACAUUAGAAACGUUAGAUAUAAUAAUAACAUUGACAUACUUAUGAUCAUGUGAGGAGGUUCUUACUAGAUUGGUAUUGACAGUAGGUUGAGCUAUGCUUAGAUGCUUUCCAUUUUCUACUGUACGAGAUUUUAUGGUUGUUGUCUUGAUCAUGCAUAUGCAUAAUAUAUAUGAUAUGCGCAAAAGAUUCUAGAGGCAAUGACAUGUGGAAAUUCUACUAAGUGGUAGCCGGACAUAAUAGAUAGUGAGGUAGCAUGCUGCCUUUCUCAUUUUUUCUUUUUUCUUAUUUUAUUUUAUUUUAUGUUAUUUUAUUUUAUUUUAUUUUUUGCGCCCUUCCCGAGGCCCGCGAUGCCUCACCCAUGUAGCUUAGUUCACUUCUUCAAUGAAUAAAGCAGGUAGCAUGCUACCUUUCUCUCAAAAAAAAGAAAAAAGAAAAAAAAAAGAUAGUGAGGUAUAUGUGAUUGUUGGAAAGAACAUUGCAUAUAUUUUUUACACAAUUGUUCUACUAAUCUCCGACUUUUUCACCCUCAGGCUCUUUGGAAUUAUUUUUUCGGGCGUUUGAUUUUUCUCGCUUUUGACCUUCCAUGUGUGAAAAUAUUUCUUAUACUUUUCUUCUACCAUUUUUUCCAGUUUGCUGCCCUAUAUCUUGUAGGAUGGGUAUACUUUUAUUUGUUGUAUGUUUAUUGCACUUCUAUUGUUUUUGUUUUCGCCUUUCACUCCUAAUGAUUUUGAUUCUGGUUUAUACUUCUUUAUUUGCUACCUCUAUUGUACAACUUCGUUAACUACUGCUACUGCUACUCUUUCUUGGUUACAAGUUUUCUUCAUGUCUAACUAUUUGUGGCUAAAAAGGUGAAGAAGUACAUGAGCCCUGUAUUUGGAACAAGUGGAAGUUUGGACGGCCUGCUCAUAGGCAACCAUUUCUUGUUGUUCUUAUACUUGGUGUCUACUUCUCAUGUUAUUGUCUUUUUUCAUUACGCCUAUAUUUUCUUUGAGUUAUUUAUUUAUUCUUUUAUUUUCUUUCACAUUCUAUCUCUUCUCAUGUUACUUUUAAAUGGCGAUGGUUGUUUGCAAUAACGUAUGUUUGGUUAUGAAGAGAAAAGAUAUAUGGGGCUUUUCCUGUGUGGUCUUUAUUUGUUCCUGUAAAAGAGAGGUUCAGCCCCAUGGUUUAAUGGAAUAACGGAAAAGAAAAUUGAUAAAGAACCAUUUAUUUGGCUCCUAGAAUUGUUGGAAAUGAAUACAUUGUAUAAUUUUAAAUACCUGUAUCUUUUAUAUGUAGUCGAUCUUCUAUUAUGUAAAGAAAAUAGUGAUUUUACUUAGAUAUUGCUCUUCCUAAUUUGAGCUCAUGUCGAACUUAGAAUUCUGCUAGGCAAUUCAUAAUACAGCCAGGCAAUUCAGGGGAGUCAUGCAAAAGGAGUUUCAUGCAAUUUUUAUGUAUUUCCGUCAUUCUCUAUGUUUUUGUUGGGUGUUUAUUUCUUCAUUUGCUUUACCAUCUAUGUCUGUUACUUCCCUCUAAGUUUUAUUGCUUUUUUGUUUGCUUACUUAUUUUUUUGCACACUAUUUUUUCUCUUCGACUUUUUCAUAUUGUAGGUCGUUUGAUUGUGUUGGCAAGGGGUCAAACUUUUGUUUGAUAGGAAACGGGAAAUUUGUGGUCAAAUUUUUGUUGGUGUUCAUUUUGAAAAGGGCCUAUUAUAUAGAAUUCUAAACUUUGAAAAUUCUGACUGAAUUCUAGAAGGCCGUUGGUGCAAUUCUGAAUUCUUAAUUUGAACCUUUUAUAUGCAUCAAAAAACUUGAUGCAGUUCAAAUCUGAAUUCUGAAUUCUAAACUUUUAUAUGCAUCGAAUAUCUUGGUUCAAUUCAGAAUUCCGAAUUCUGAAUUCUGGAUCCAGAAUUCAGAUAUGCAAUUCAGAAUUCAUCUAAGCAAUUCGGGCUGCCGUGAGGAAGGUGAGGUAGUUGCUCUUGAAUGUUCCCAUGCUAUGAUCAUCUUCGCCUAAAAUGUUAGAUAGUUAAAAACGGACAGAACCAUUUUGGUUGGUGAUGGGUGUACUUUGGACGGCCUACUCCGUAGGCAACUAGUCACUCUUAUCUGUGCUGGGAAUACUUUCAAUGUGCAUGUGGCUCCUCAGUCAGUUAGCAGUAAUAAUGUUUGAUGACUUGGGGAGUCUGAGCAAAGUAUAUUUAUAUUCACUAUAUUCUUCGUGGUAUUUCGAAUUGCCUAGCUGAAUUCUGAAUUGCCUAGUUGAAAUCUAAAUUAUCUAGCUGAAUUCUGGUGUGUGAAAAUGGCAUAAAACUCCUUUUACAUGCCUCCCCUGAAUUGUCUGGCUGAAUUCUGAAUUGCCUAGCAGUAAUUUGAAGUCAGAAUUGAGGAUCCUAAAUUGCAUCGAUUAACCCGAACAUUUUUGCAAAUUCCACCCUUUGCUUUGGUUAACUGGUGGAGCUUCUAUGCAUGCAAGUUUUUGCAGGAAUCUAACUGGGCUUACUAUACUCUAUACCUGCAAAUAUGGGAGCAUUAGUUUUUGCCCAGCUUGCUGUCAAAUCAACCUUAUUUGCUUUUGCUUUGUAUCUUAGAUAGAAAGUUUUAGCUUCUCAUAAAAUUUUUAUAAGCCUAAUUUUUUUUAUCGUUUAAUAUAAUUUGUUGUUGCCUUCUUGCAAACAACCGGUGGCUCCCAUUUGUGCUAGGAAUAGUUAUAUAUAUCGGUUUCAAAUCAAUAUUUGAUAAAUAGGGGAGCUUGGGUGAAGUUUUUUAUGUUGCCUAUUAGAUUUGUUCUUCCAUGAAGAAAGUGAGGCAGCAGCUCUUGAAUGUUCCCAUACUAUGAUGAUCUUCCCCUUAAAUGUCAGAUGUUUGCAAUAAUCAAGAGCGGACUCUUGAAUGUUCCCAUGCUAUGAUGAUCUUCCCCUUAAAUGUCAGAUGUUUGCGAUAAUCAAGAGCGGACCGGAGUUUUUUCCCUUCCGAUGGGUGUACUUUGGAUAGCCUACUCCGUAGGCAACUGGUUACCCUUAUUUGUGCUAGGUAUACUUCCGGUUUGCAUGUGGGCCCUCACUCAGUUAGCAGUAUGGGUUCGACGCCAAUCUAAUAAUGUUCAAUGAUCUGGGGAGUCUGAGCAAAGUAUAUUUAUUUUUACAAUAUUGUUUAUGGAAUUCCAGAUUGCCUAGCUGAAUCCUGAAUUGCCUAGUUGAAUUCUGAAUUAUCUAGCUGAAUUCUGGUGUGUGAAAAAUGACAUAAAAAUCCUUUUGUUUGUCUUCUGUGAGUUGCCUAUCUGAAUUCUGAAUUGCCUAACAGUGAGCUGAAAUUGGAAUUGAGAAUUGUUAUGUGCACUCUAUAAUACCUUCUAUUUCAGCUCUUACUUCAAUAUUUAAUAUUAUUAUAACGAAAUUUCAUUAUGUAAAAUCUUGAUCUUUUAUUACAAAGUAUGAGACGGAAUGGUUCAAAUUACCCAAUCUUUACUUUGGUCAACUGUUAAAGCUUCUACAAAUGCAAGUUUUUGCAGGAAUCUCAUUGCGAUUGCUAUACUAUAUUUCUGCAAGCAUGGAAGUAUUAGUUUUUGCUCAGCUUACUGUCAAAAUAAUCUUAUUUAUGCAAGCAUGAAAGCAUUAGUUUUUGCUCAGCUUACUGUCAAAAUAACCUUAUUUGCUUUUGCUAUAUAUCUCAGAUAGAAAAAUAUAGUUUCUCAUAAAAUUUUUAUAGUCCUAAUUUGUUUUACCGUCUUCUAUAAUUUGCUGUUGUCUUCAAUUAUAUGGUUUGAUUCGGAUACUAUAUAUCUUGACUUUCGAGACUUUAUCUGGCCCUUUUUUGUGCAAUUGUUUUGUUUGUUUUAAUAUGAUUACCAUAAGCAACAUUUUAUAUGAAUUCGCAUUCUAAAUUGUAGAUUCUAAGGUCUAAAUUUUGAAUAUGAUUCUGAAUUCUCGAAAUUGUUUUGUGGGAGAGACCUAAUGUGAAUAGCCUUUUUCCGACAUCAUACACAAACACCUUUCCAAUAAGUUCAGAACUAUAGUAGCAAUGUAGCCUAUCAAUGACCAUCCUGCCUAACCCCUUACCCUCAACAGCUCAGUUAUUCUCAAAUUUGGCCGAAACAUGAAAAUAAGAAAUAAAUUGGCUAGGGGACUUUGAGCAAAAUAUAUUUAUUUUUCCUAUAUUCUUUAUGGAAUUUCGAAUUACCUAGCUGAAUUCCGGAUUGUCUAGCUGAACUCUAAAUUAUCUUCCUGAAUUCUGGAUUAGAAAUUCAGAAUUAAUUCAGAAUUCAAAUUUGCAGCGAGUUAUUCGAUGCAUAUAAAAGUUUAGAAUUCAGAAUUCAGAUCUGAACUGUAUCAAGAUAUUUGAUGCAUAUAAAAGGAUAGAAUUCAGAAUUCGGAAUUGCAUCAACGGUGUUCCAGAAUUUUGAAUUCUGAAUUUUGAAAGGUUAGAAUUACAUAAAAAAAAUUAGAAUUCAGCAGAACUUCAUAUUUAAUCUAAUAUUUCAAAUUUAGAAACUGAAAUUUAAAAUUUAAAAUUAUAAACUUUUAAAAUUUAGUUUUUUAGUAAUUAAGAUAAAAUAUAAAAUUUUUAAAUUUUAAGUUUUAAAUUUUAAAUUUCAAAUUUUAAUAUUUUAAAUAUUAAAUUAUAAAUUGAAUUUAAAAAAUUCAAAUAUUAAAUUUCAAAUAUUGAAAUUUCAAUUUCAUAUGUCAAAAUUUAAAUUUUAAACUUCAAUAUUUUAUAUUUUAAAUUUAAAUUUAAAUUUUGGAUAAUAAAAAUUUUAAAUUUUUAAUAUUUAAUUAUUUAUUUUGAUUUUGUUUAAAUUUUAUAAUCAACUUCAUUAAAUAAUAAUAUUGAAUAGUCUAUUUAAAAAAUUUUAGAAAUUACGUAAAUUUUUCGCCCCCAAGCGCGGCCUAUAUAUGUAAUUCCAGAGUCCGGCUACUAUGCUAUUAAUAGCACGAAGUACUUGGUACUACCAAGUUUUCCGCCGUUAGAUCUACCCUUUUGAUCAUUUUUACCCGUUAAAUUAUACUAUUCAACCAACCACCUACUCAACCCUAGAGAGCCCAUAUCAUCCUAAUCACACAUCUCUUAAACCAAUGACCAAAAACUUGGUAGCACUAAUGACUCAGUGCUAUUAAUAGCAUUUGAUUAUUCAAUUUGUACGUUUGUUAGGCCUACCUUGGACGCGCAAUUAAUAUUCGUAAAUGUACUAUCAUUGUUCUCCCUUCUCCAAUUAGUAGUACUACAUCUAGGUCGUCCAGGUCGUCGAGUGUACUUCCCCGUUCCUAGAAAAAACAAAGUACAUAUCCAAAGAGAGCACCCUCCUCCUCCUCCUCCUCCUCCUCCUCUCACGUAACUCCAUUAAAUUCCAAAACCAAGAAGAAGAAGAAGAAGAAAAAGGAGGAGGAGGAGGGAUUGUUGAUUACCUUUUCCUGCAGGCAUGGGAGACAUGGGAGACAUGGGGGACAUGGACAUGGGCAACCACACGCACGGCAGCGGUGCGCCGCCAUCGCCGAUGUCGAUGGGCGGCAUGAAGAUGAGCUACGUCCACAUGACCUUCUUCUGGGGCAAGAACUCCGAGAUCCUCUUCUCCGGCUGGCCGGGCGCCCGCAGCGGCAUGUACGCCCUCGCCCUCAUCGUCGUCUUCCUCCUCGCCGUCCUCGUCGAGUGGACCGCCCGCUACGACGUCGGCACCGCGGCGAGGCUGGUCAGGACCGCCGUGCACGCGCUGCGCGUCGGCCUCGCCUACCUGAUGAUGCUCGCCAUCAUGUCCUUCAACGGCGGCGUCUUCAUCGUCGCCGUCGCCGGCCACACCGUCGGCUUCCUGCUCUUCAGGAGCCGCCCGGCCUCACCCGCCGGCGAUCGCGGAGAGAAGGCAGCGGAUCUCUCUCCCAUGGCAUGCUAGCUGGCUUGAUGAUGAGUAUACGCUUCUUGAUUCUUGAAAGUGUGGUGUGUGUGUGUGUGUUUUUUUCUCUUUUUUUUUUGGGUUUCUUUUGGUGUGCAUGCAAUAAAUAUUUGAUGUAUGUCUAAUGCUUUGUUUCAUGCAUAGGUAAAUUGCACCACUAGUCCUCAGAACUUUUAAGCGCUUUUUGUUACUUAUAUUUACUAUUAGAGGAAAAAUUAUUAUCUCGAAAUGCAUCACGCAUCUAACCAGCCCUGAUUCCAUCUUAGAAAUCGCCUGUUGGAUUGAGAAUAUGAGAUGAAUGAAAGGUGUGCAACUGAACAGGAAUUAAUAGAGACAAUAGUUUUUUUGCUAAUUAAGGUAGGGACAAAAGUAAAACAUUGAUGAAUCUAAAAGAUCGGGAACUGAAAUAAAAUUUGACUAAAAGUUCAUGAACUAGUGGUGCAAUUUAUCCUUGUUUGAAGAUACUGCAGUAAAGUUCUCUUCGUAAUUGUGUGACCACAAUAAGGUGCAGUGAUGGACACAAAUCAAAUUCUAAGCAGAGCUUCUUACAGGAGUUAUCAUAAGAUUGGAUUGGAUUACCCUUCACCCAAUAUCUUAUUUCAACUUUAAUCAUAAAUCGAAAAUAUAGAAACAAUACUCUGAUUCCAUGAAGGAAAUCCAACUCCUCCUUAUGCUUCUUCUGAGCGGAGCUUUGUAUAAAAUUUUAUACCUGUUAUUCUUGUUGUGUGAGCUGAUCAACUAUAUAUACCUUAUGUUAUUUGUGGAGACUUAAUUUGGUAAUACCUAUAUUCAAGUGCAAAUGAAUAUGUACUCGUCUACUUUACGUACAUGCAUGAUUCUGAAAUAGCUCCUUUUAACUUUUCUUUUUGAUUUGCAUCUUCUGCAUCAAAGAUUGUUCAAACUUAGGCUCUUUCAUCAGAAAACAAGAGUAUUCCCGUUCAUCUUAACCGUCGAUGACCGGCGGCGGCGACGGAGGAAACGGAUAAAAUUAGUCUUCUGUUAAUUCCUCCAGUAAUAGUGAAGAACUGAGAAGUUAAUUGGAAGGUCAGGCUCCUCCUUUUUGUCUCUGUCACAGCCACAAAGAUAAGGUGUCAAUUUAUGAUUUUUGUUUUCUUUUUUUCCUUUUUUUUGGGGGGUCUUUCAAUUUGAAAUGAAUAUCGGCUUUCAGAAAGAUAACCCUAAUUCCUAUAUAAAUCAUUUCGAUUCGACUAUUCAAUCUUUUAAAAUUUUAAUUUUAACACUCAACAUUUUAAUUUGUUUGAGUUAAAUAAUAAGAUGGCUUUUCGGAUACAAAGUUUAAGCUAAUUACUUAUAUUAAUACAGUUAUAUUUACAUAAAUUGUGUAAAAUAAACUAAUUAAAUAUAUAAAAAUAAACGAUGCAUUCAGAUUUUUAAAGAGUCAUUAAUUAGCUUAAAUGAAAUAAAAUAAAAGAUAAUAUAGUAAAGUAAAAAAAUUUAUAAAAUUAGAUAGUCAAAUUCAAAUAUUUUUACCUUUAAAAAGUGAUGAGAAAAAUAGAAUGCAGAGUGUGGGAGGCAUGUUAGCUCUCAUAUUUCAUCCCUAGUCUAGCAUCAGGUCAUGUUGCCAUAUAUGGGCUAGAGUUAAUUAAUUAGCAUCCUACAGAAUAGAUUCUAUUAGUUUCAGCAGAAAAAGGCUCUGCCUAGUAUUUGAUCAGAGGACGAAAAAAAAAAAAAAAAAAAGUUAAAUUGUACCAUUAGAGCUGUCAAUCAGUGAGCCAGCUUACAUUCGACUCGAAAUUGGUUUGAACUCAGCUCGCUCGAUCAAUAAACAAGUCGAUCACCAGCUCACUUUUGAGAUGGAAAAAUUAAUGAACCAAACAUGAGGUGACCUCGGCUUGCUUAUAAUUGGCUUGACAGAGUUCAAAUAAAUAAAUAAAUAAAUAAUAUAUACAUAUUUAUUUUAGGUCGACACGUUGUAAAUUUUUUUUUGUCUUUUUAGUUUUUGUUUUUUUGUUAGCAUGACUCUUAGUUCUAAUAUUAAUUAGUAAUACUAAGAGCAAUAGUUAGUUUUAAUAUUUUAUUAAAAUUUAGUUAAAGCAAUUAAACUCAAAAAAUUUUGAGCUUCCUCAAAUUAAUUUCAAGCCAAAAACGAGCUUGAUUAUCCUAGCUUUUUUAAUUUCGAGUCGAAGAUGAACCGACUCAAAUUAAUUUUGAACAUGUUAAAGGAAAGGAUAAUUAUUUUCCAGACCAAUUAAGUAGAGGAUUUUUUGAAAAUACUAAUUAUGAAUUUAACAUAAUGAAUAUUAAUUAGUUUUAGAAAUAUAAAAAGAGUUUUAGAAAUAUUAAUUUCGAGUCGAAGAAAAGAUAAAGAGUUUUAGAAAUAUAAAAACAAAAUUUUAUUAUAAAUUUUUAGAAGGGAGUACCGUACGGGACCUAACACCCACUUUGAAAAAGACAUCUUAAUCACGGAACUUUUAUCAUUAAACCUCUUCUUAUUAUUAGCCAUAAUUAGAAUCUCCUUUAAAAUCUAUAUCUAUCUAUUUCCUUUUCUUUUCUACGGCGAGCUUAAGAUAAAAAUUAAAUUUUCAGACAUAAACUUAUCCAUCCCCGUUAAGCUAGGCUUUAACAGAGAGAGAUUUCGCCUAGAAAUCCCUUUCGACUUAAGUUUUUAGUAUAGUGAAUAGUAUCUCGCUAAUUAUAAUUAGUGUGAACAGUGUCACGUGAAUAGUGCUCGGUGAAUAGUGCCACGUGAACAGUACCCUAACGUAAAUACGUGAAUAGUACCUUAUGAACAGUACCAUAUUAAAAAAAAAAAAAAAACCUCUUACGUAGCACCCACCUUUAAUUACUAUUCCUUAAUUAAGCACCCUUUCUUUUUCUUCCAAAAAAAUUCCAGAAAAAAUUUCAAAAAAUUCGUCUUCUCCUGAUUCCCAACUUUAGAUCUUUUCUCUAUUUUCUGUGUUUCAGUGCUCUUCUUUCGCUCUUUAUUAAAUAUUAGUUUAAUAUUACAAUUUCAUAUUACAUAGUCUGAUCCAACCUCCUCCCACUCACGCUUUAGAUUCUUGUCUUUCAUCUUUCUCAAAAAAUCAAAAAAUAUUUUUCGCUGUUGUAGGGUAAUUUGCUUCUUUCAAAGGUUUGUCCAGCACUCUGAAAAAAUCAAAAAAUAUUUUCCAACCUUUGUAUAAAAAUAUCUUUUCUUUAGGGUUUUUCCUGCUUUUAGGGUAUUUCUCCCUUUAGGUUUAUCACUUUAGGUUUUUCUAAAAUCAGAAAAUCCAAAAAUAUUUUCUGUUUUCGUUUGUGUUUAAAAGCUUUCUAGUUUUUACUAUUUUCUUUAAAUUUACAGAAAACCCAAAAAUAUUUUCUAAGACUUUGCUCCCCGCUUCCCUCUUCAAACCUUCUCACCUCAUCUUCGUAGCAUCCAAAACCCUAGCCCAUUUAGAAAAAUCCAACCAACAGAGAUUGUUCCCAUCCAGCCAACCACAAGCACCCAAUCACCCACUUUCAUUAAACCCUAAACCCUCUCUCUCGUGUUCAGCUCGUUGACAGCCCUAAGUGCCACUAGUGCUUGAACUAUAUUUAAUUUUGGCCACUAAUACUUUGGUGCUUGAAAUUUUAAAUUUAGCAUUUGACAUCCAAAAUUCCAAAAUUAUAUCACAUUUGCCAUAUCCUUAUUUACUCCUACACCUGAUUGUAAUGGAUUUAGGUUUUCUUUCUGCAAUGACCAUGCGGUAUUCCCCUUUCUUCUCAAAGAUGGACAAGCUUUGUCCUGUAUUAAUUUGUAAACUUGGGUCUACUAAUAAGCGCCUCAUUACAACAGAAUUAGAUUAUAGGGACACAUGUUUGGGACACUUUUGAGUAAGUGUCCCAUUUAUGCUAAAACUUAAAAAAAACAUCUACUAAUGUCUAAAUAUAAAGUCCAAUCCAAUCAAGAAUAAAAGAUUACUCUACUCAACCUACCACACCCAGUCCAUUUGGCCCGAUUACAAACAGAAAAGAAAAAAAAAAGAAAAAUCAAUUACCAUCUUUUUUUCUCUCUUCACUCAAUCCACUGAAAUUCUAGACGAAGAGCCUUUUCUGUCGUCCUCCUCCGCCACGGCAGCCAACGAGAUAAAGUUUCGGCGGUUGCUAAAUGCUUAAAUAAGUGUUGGUAAAUUAGCAGCACUCUUUUAGGUUAUAACGACACUAUUUAACUGUCACUAUAUACCUAGCGACUCCACAUAUAGCAACACUUUUUAAAAGUGUCGGUAAUUUUAGCUAGCAUCACCUUUUUGACAUGUACCUACAUUUAAAAGUGUCGCUAUAGACCGUUUUUGUUGUAAAAAUAGAGAGAACUUUUGAUGAAAUUAGAGAUAUCUAUAUCUAUAUCUAUACAUUAUUCCUCAUAGCUUUGCCAUAUGACAAUUUCUCCUUCAUCCUUGUCUUCUCCCUCCUUUUCACUUCUUGGUGCUUCACCUUCCCAUCUCCCAUCUCCGUCUGAUAUUUUGUCUUCUCACUUACUUACUUUCUAAUUAAUGCAUGCAUAUGGUCAAUUGUUAUAUGAACAAAUCACUUCCACAAAAAAAAAAAAUGAGUAAAAUAAGAUCUCUUCUUACUUUUGUUUCUCAUACUAUUUAUAUUUAUUAAUGUCUCAUUGCAACUCAAAAAUUUUAAAAUUGUUAGUUUAUCAAUCUUUUGUCUUUUUUAUAGUAUUAGCCCGCUGCAAUGCAUAGGUAACUUCAUUAGUAUUCCACUAUUUUUGCAUUAUUUGGAGAGAGAAUAUUACAGCUGACUUGGGCUAUAGUAUGGCUUGAGGCUUUUUAUUUGUUCUGUGAGCCUCAAACCUCGAGGAAGUCUACUAUAUAACACUUACACUACAUUAUCUAUUCCCAACCAAUCACAUAUCUUCAUUUGAGAGAAAAGGAUAAUAAAAAUAUUUUUUUUAAAAUUAUAAUGGGAUGGAUGAACCCCAGUAGAGUUUCUGUAUUAGUUUGGAAUAUCAUGUCAACAAUAUAAAUAUUGCAUUAAACCGCCCACUAAGUAUACUAACUGCGGGUAGCAUGACGCUUAUAUGUAGACUAUAAAGAAAAGGGAAGCAAAUAUCUACUAACUUUUUUUUUUUUUUCGAGGGAAUAAAGUCGGUAGAUAAUUCAUUAAAAAGUAGAGUUUGAUUGUUUUGGAAAAGCAAGUAAAAUUACAUUCUCACAAAAAAAAAAAAAAAAAAAAAAAAAAAAAAAAAAAAAAAAACCCAUAAAAAANAAAAAAAAGAAAAAAAAAAAGGGAAAAAAAAUAUCCCCAAAACUAAAUGAAAAAAAUAAAAAUGACGGUACACAAACCUAAGAAACGAAAAGGAGAAGAUAUAUGUAUAUCGGCCCCCCAAAAUCUACACAUCUAACUAAAAAAAGUAAAUCAAGUUUCUAAACUAGAAGCCCGAGAUAAAAAUGAAAAACAAAAUAAGAAAAAAUAUGAAUAAAAAAAGCAAUCAAAAGGAGUUGUUUAUGCCUUCGAAAGCAGUACAGCUCUUUUAUAACACAAUCUCUCAGAGAUCUGAGAGUAUCAGCAAAUCCUACACAUGUAGAAUGGUUUAUAGAGUUACAAAACACCAAUCCCAUCUGUCAACCAAAAUUCUCAUGGGCUGAAAAUCAAUACCAAAGUCUCAAAGCAAUCUAAAAGUAGCAAUUAUCUAACAAUAGCGAAUUUCUGAUCAGCGAAAUGUUUUUCAAGAUUCGGAAUUCUCAUAUUCCGACAUGAAUUCUUCUAAAGGUUCGCUAAAGGUUCGCUCCGUAAAGACGCGUGCCCACAUAUUCUAGGUACGUUUAAGAGCUGUAACAGAAGCUCAUGGUUACAAAAACAGGAAUUUUAUUCAUCCGACUCAUUUGGAAAACAUAAAUGGGCAGAGUAAUGCUCUGCUUUCCAACAGCCCGAAUAACUCUACACACAGUAAACUCUGAUACAACAAGUCAGGGCAAUUGUGUCUUUACCUUCAUUAUACAACACCAGGAGACAGGGAAUGGAUAAAGGAAAAGGAAAAAAACCAAAAAGAGAAGAACCUCAUACAGCUACAGGGACAGCUUCAUCCAGUGCAACAACACCUGGAAGCUCCUUCCCUUCCAAUAGCUCCAAGCUGGCUCCUCCACCUGUCGAUAUGUGGCUCAUUACAUCGGCCACGCCCACUUUCUCAACAGCAGCGACGGAAUCUCCACCUCCGAUGAUCGUUGUAACUCCUUUCCCGCUAAGCUCCGCCAACUUCUUUGCAAUUGCCUAUGAAAGAAAACACGAGUCAAGCCUCAUUUGGCGUUGAAACUGUAGUGCGACAUGGAAAUUAGUAGCUAAACAAGGUGCUGUUCGAUUACCUCGGUUCCAACCGCAAACUUAUCGAAUUCGAAAACCCCCAUAGGUCCGUUCCAGAUAACAGUUUUGGUCGUUUCAAGAGCAUCACUGAAGGUCUUAAUAGAAUCUGGUCCAAUAUCUAAGCCCAUCCAACCGUCGGGGAUUGCGGAGGCUGGCACAACCUACAUAAUCAAAUUGACAGUUAAUCAAGAGCAUUCCAACUACAUACUAGGAACUUCAUUAGAUCUUAAUGACUGAAUAAAUAAAGCAUAAAUAGCAUACCUUGCUUUCUGCAUCGGGGGCAAACUUGUCGGCAAUGACAACGUCAGUCGGCAACAAAAGGGAGACCCCCUUCUCUUUUGCCUUUGCGAGAAGUGAUGUUGCAAGAUCGAGUUUGUCAUUCUCUACCAAGGAAGAACCCACUGAAAGCCCUUGUGCCUUGUAGAAGGUGAAUAUCAUACCGCCACCCAAAAGAAGAAUAUCGACUUUCUCCAACAGCGAUUCGAUGACUCCAAUCUUAGAUGACACCUUUGAACCACCUACUAUGGCAGCGAAUGGGCGCUUGGGGUUUGAAACAGCUCCAACGAGGUAAUCAAGUUCCUGCAAAUUUAUAACAAGCCGUUUAACCGAAGUUAAGACACAAAAUAAAGAAAGAAGAAAGAGAGAGAUGUUGCAUAUCAUACAAGCCUCCUGCUUAAACUUGAGUUAGGUUAUGACAACAAAAAUAUUUAAUAGUAGGACAGGGACCUUUUGCAAGAGGAAACCAGCAACAGAGGGCUUCAAGAACUUUGUGACACCCUCUGUUGAUGCAUGUGCUCUAUGUGCAGUUCCAAAUGCAUCAUUCACGUAAAGGUCUGCAAGGGACGCAAGCUUCUUUGCAAACUCUGGAUCGUUCUUCUCCUCCUCCUUAUAAAACCUUACAUUCUCAAGAAGUAACACACCACCCUCUGGGAGCUCGGAGACCAAUUUCUCAACUUCCGGACCGAUACAGUCAUCGGCUUUCUCAACCUGUUUGAUGUGCAUCAAGGAAUCCACGAAUACACAUAAAUGUUAAUAACUAGAGAACGCAAAACUCUAGAAGAGAAAAUUUAAAUGAAAAGACAAUAAUACCUUUAUGCCAAGGAGUUCAGAUAACCUUGGCACAAGAGGACUUAAGCUAUAUUUGGGUGUGACACCCUUUGGGCGCCCCUGUAUACAUUGAAGAGAAAAAAAAAAACAUGCAUUGAAAGUUAGAUAUAUAGUUAUUUGCAGCAAAUAUUUAAAAAAAAAAAAGAUAAAAAGGAUACAUAAAUAUCUUUAGCUCAAGAAACAUGAUUUAUGAGAGGAAAAAUUAUGUAAAAAAUACACUAUUAUCCUCCUAUAAUUACUAUGCAUGAUCAAUGCAAAAUGAUGAGUUGCAACAUCACAACAUGGAAGGACGUUACUUGUUAGUAGGUUAAGCAUUGGCAAGUUUUCCAAGUAGUUCGAACGGUAAACCUCAGUUACACUCCUUCCAAAGAUAAAGAAGUCGAGUUCAAUGAUGCAACUUUUUGAAAAUGAUCUACUGGUAGUUUUAAAUAUGAUCUACCAGUUCAUAUUCAAGCCAAUUAACUGACCAUAAAGUAUGACUGAACAGACUACAACUAAUCAAGCUUAAUUAGAAUAAAUUCCACUUCUUAUAGACCAAUAUGCAAAGAAACACCACAUAUCCACUAGCCAACCUAUUGUACUUGACUGUUGGUCAAGUAUUCUCCUUAUCCUCUUAGUUCUUUUGCAGAAAACCUCCACAGUCAGCCACUCAACGUAUCUUGCAGCACUUUUUGCAUUUUCUUAUAUUCCCUUUACCAAUUCACAGUCGGCUAAGCCACUAAGCCAUAGAAAAUAUGGAGCCUUAGCUAUUUGAUUUCUACUGCAACAGCGUAGGUUAUACAUAUCCUGAUGAAAUUUUCAUUUUCAUUUUCCUUAGACAUUUUAGUCGGUAAGAUUUCAUGUACCCAAUUCAAAAAAAUUUCGAAAGUAUGAUUAGGUUAGUCAGUAAAAUCAAAUUUCUCGAAGUUCAGGUACCAAUUUCGAAAUUCAAAAUGCGACAGUUCAACUACGAUGCAUAAUAUAUUUUUUUUGGCUAACAUGUAUAAAAGUUAUCUAAACUACUGUCCAACCUUUAAAGUUUUGAUGGUGGUACCCAACCUUUGAUUUAAGCCAUUUAAUAGCUCUUUAAGUAUAAAAUAAAGGCUCAUCAAUUGGUUUUUAAUGGAAUUCUAGUCGCAUGAAGCAUGCUGAUUAUGCCCGUAAAAAUAAUCAUCGCAUUCAAAUUUCAAAGUGAAAUAGUCAUUAAAUGGCUUGAAUCAAAUAUAUUCAAAAUCAGAAUAUCAGUCAUAAUUCUAGUUCAGAUAAGGUCUAUACAUUUGUACAUUUUUUUGGUAAAAAAAAAAAAAGUAUAAACUUACCUGAAAACAUGUCCGUUUUGGAUCUUUUGAUUGAACUAUCCAGCAUUUUAAAAUUUUAAUUUUGGUACCCAAACUUUCAAAUUUACUUUACUAGCAAUUUGAUGAUUAUUCCGGUACAAAAUUUAGACUGAUUACUUACUUUUAUAAAAUUUCAGUUGCAUGAAUUACACGAAAUUUUGGUAAUCAAGCCCGUAAAAACAAACACUGUUUUCAAAUUUUGAAAUGUAAGAAUCACUAUAGAUGAUAUCAAAUCAAAGAGAAUAAAUGGUUAAAUAAAAAAAUCUAAAAUUCUCAAAGGACGAAUGGUCAGAUCAAAAUCAAAUCAGUCAUAGUUCAGAAGCAGAAGUGAUAAAGAAAAAAAUCUAUUUUGUAACAUUUACAUCACACAAUCUCUCCUUAGUCAAUCAUAUUUUUUUACUUGUAGAUGGAUGAAUUCCGAAAAACCUAGAACUUUUCGAUGGAUGAAUUCCGAAAAUCCUUAGUCAAUCUAAAAUCUCUCCUUAGUGGGAUGGAUGAAUUCCGAAAAACCUUUCAAUUAGUUGGUGAUAGCACAUCAUCAGCAAUAUUUAUAUUGCAUUCUAGAACUUUUCGUGUUGCAGUGGGAAGUCGGACUUCGAGUAACUAGUGAAUAUAACGAUUCAGAAUUCGUUCCCCAUCCCACCGAAGUCGAGAGGCCAAUCUCCGUGAGCGAGUGAGUGAGAGUUUAGACAAUCUCACAAUUUCGGUGCUGAAACAAACACCAGGGAAUGCUAAUUUCACGAAGUCGCGAGUUCAGCGUCUGAGAUCCACGAGAACGGAGAGGAAGAGGAGAAGCAAGAAGAAGGAGGAGGAGGAGGAGGAGGAGGAGCGGACCAGGUGGCUGGCGAGGAUGACUUUGGCGCCAUUGCUGAUGAGGUGCUUGAUGGUGGGCACGGCCGCGCGGAUCCGGGUGUCGUCGGUGAUGUUCAGGGCGUCGUCCAAGGGCACGUUGAGAUCGACCCUCACGAACACCUUCUUCCCCCUCAGAUCCGCCUCCUUCAGAUCCCCCACGCUCUUCUUCGCCGCCAUUGAUGGNGCCAUGGACGUAGAGAGAGAGAGAGAGAGAGAAGGGUGGUUCUGUGAGUUGGGAGGGGCGAUUUAGAGGAGGAGGAGGAGGAGGUGGACUUAAGAGAGUGAGGGGAGGGGUGGGUGUAAUAAGAGAGAGGGGAUUUUGUGGCGGAGAGGGGGAUCGGGGGAUGAUACUUUUUCUUAUCGUCGGGGAGAGGUGGAGAAGAGGGUGUUGGAGGAGGGGCUUCGAUGUUUCCGCUGCGAUUCGUGGUUUCUUCUGACUUACAUUGUACAAGCCGGGGUGCGGCGAUCGCGAUUGCGAUUGCGAUUGCGAUUGCGAAUGCGUGAUUCGCGAUUAAGG
rnacentral:lncRNA from 1 species